UCUUCGCUCCUCUACCCCAUAAAAUUCCCUACAAAUGCAAAAAUUCGAGAUAGAAGAAGCCGUCCCUGAAAUUGCUGUCUAACAUUCACCGGAAACCUCUCCAUAAACAAGGAGAAACGAACGCACACACAUUUUUGCUAAGAAGCCCGGGAUUAAGAUUAAGGAUACAAGCUGAAAGAAAAAAUGAAAAAUGCUUCUCCGCGCGUCAGUCGAGGGGUGGAUGCGCCACGCAGCGUGAGCCCAGCUCACAGCCACGCGUAAGACCAAAAGCUGCCAUGGGUUCUGCGCGCGGAGACCUCAGAGCCGAAGAGAGAAGUCCCCGCGACAGAAACGCUGCGGAUGCCAGGUCUUGAAAAUGCUGACUUCUGAGGCUAAGAAUUAUUUCAAAGACAAAAAGAAAAGACUGGUGAGGAGGCCUUCCGGUGCAAGGGCGCCUAUCCGCUAAUUUUGGUUGGGGAAGUAGGGAUUAUUCGUUUAAAUUCAAUCGCCAGCACCAAGUCGGACUGGCCGGGGAUGGAGAAGGGCAACCCCCACCUUUAGAAAAAUAAAAGAUCUCGAAGGCCC
rnacentral:lncRNA from 1 species